CUACGGGCUGCUCCAGUGAGGAAUAUUGCACAAUGGGGGGAACCCUGAUGCAGCAACGCCGCGUGGAGGAUGACGCAUUUCGGUGUGUAAACUCCUUUUAUAUGUCAAGAAAAUGACGGUAGCAUAUGAAUAAGCACCGGCUAACUCCGUGCCAGCAGCCGCGGUAAUACGGAGGGUGCAAGCGUUACUCGGAAUCACUGGGCGUAAAGGACGCGUAGGCGGGUUGGAAAGUCAGGUGUGAAAUCCUACAGCUUAACUGUAGAACUGCACUUGAAACUUCUAAUCUAGAGUAUGGGAGGGGGAGAUGGAAUUAGUGGUGUAGGGGUAAAAUCCGUAGAUAUCACUAGGAAUACCCAAAGCGAAGGCGAUCUCCUGGAACAUUACUGACGCUAAGGCGUGAAAGCGUGGGGAGCAAAUAGGAUUAGAUACCCGGGUAGUC
rnacentral:rRNA from 1 species